AUUGAACGCUGGCGGCAGGCUUAACACAUGCAAGUCGAGCGGGGAAGGUUGCUUCGGUAACUAACCUAGCGGCGGACGGGUGAGUAAUGCUUAGGAAUCUGCCUAUUAGUGGGGGACAACAUUCCGAAAGGGAUGCUAAUACCGCAUACGUCCUACGGGAGAAAGCAGGGGAUUAUUUGACCUUGCGCUAAUAGAUGAGCCUAAGUCGGAUUAGCUAGUUGGUGGGGUAAAGGCCUACCAAGGCGACGAUCUGUAGCGGGUCUGAGAGGAUGAUCCGCCACACUGGGACUGAGACACGGCCCAGACUCCUACGGGAGGUAGCAGUGGGGAAUAUUGGACAAUGGGGGGAACCCUGAUCCAGCCAUGCCGCGUGUGUGAAGAAGGCCUUUUGGUUGUAAAGCACUUUAAGCGAGGAGGAGGCUUACCUGGUUAAUACCUGGGAUAAGUGGACGUUACUCGCAGAAUAAGCACCGGCUAACUCUGUGCCAGCCGCCGCAGUAA
rnacentral:rRNA from 1 species